GCGCGAGGGAGGAGCUAGUGCGGGCGCAGAAGAGCGCACUAACAGCCGCAGGGUGAAGUAUUGUACCGCGUGAGGUGGAAGGGACUCUGAAGGGGACACCUGGGAGCCCGAAGCCCAUCUUGAUGACUGUAAGGAAGUCCUGCUUGAAUUUCGGAGGAAACAGGCCGAAAACAAACAGAAACCUGUCAAGAAGGAAAUGCCGGAAAAAGAAGGUAGAAAAACAGACACAGGAAAAGAGAAAACCAGGAAGAAACAGGAGUCUGAAAAGAAGGGAAAAAAGAACAGAAGGGGGUAAAGAGUGAGUGUGCUUGGAUUUGCUGAAAUCUAUAUUUAUUCCUACAUAUAGUUGUUAGUGCCCUGCACAACACAGAAAUCCCUGAUAUCCCUAUCUCUGUAAUCUGUUUAUUCAAAAAAGUAGGAAUAAAUCCCAUGUUUAUAUGCUGAAAUCCAGCUGCA